AGAUACCCCUGUAGUCCCAGCCCUAAACGAUGCGCGUUAGGUGUAUCGGUGACCACGAGUCACCGAGGUGCCGAAGGGAAACCGUGAAACGUGCCGCCUGGGAAGUACGGUCGCAAGGCUGAAACUUAAAGGAAUUGGCGGGGGAGCACCACAACGGGUGGAGCUUGCGGUUUAAUUGGAUUCAACGCCGGAAAUCUUACCGGGACCGACAGCAACAUGAAGGCCAGGCUGAAGACUUUGCCGGAUUAGCUG
rnacentral:rRNA from 1 species